rnacentral:lncRNA from 1 species
CUGGGUCUUUUCUUGCAUCAGUGCUGCUUGCGUACUGCUCGAGAGAAAGAGACCAUAAAAAGGCUUUCGAAUAUAUACUAUAUGAACUUCUUUACAUUCGAGUAUGCGCAAAUAUUUGAUACUUGCAUGGUCAAAUGUAGGCUUUAAUUUAUGGGUACAGCAGAACUCAAUAAUGUUUGUCAAAAAAUUCUCUGUAUGUAUCACGAAAUUCACUAAGUAUAUACAU